rnacentral:rRNA from 1 species
UACGUAGGGUGCGAGCGUUGUCCGGAAUUAUUGGGCGUAAAGAGCUCGUAGGCGGCCUGUCGCGUCGGAUGUGAAAGCCCGGGGCUUAACCCCGGGUCUGCAUUCGAUACGGGCAGGCUAGAGUGUGGUAGGGGAGAUCGGAAUUCCUGGUGUAGCGGUGAAAUGCGUAGAUAUCUGCAGGAACACCCGUGGCGAAAGCGGCGCGCUGGACCACUACUGACGCUGAGGAACGAAAGCUAGGGGAGCAAACAG